rnacentral:tRNA from 1 species
GUGGUUUUAGUUUAAAUAAAAUAAUGAUUUGUCUAGUCAUAGAUGAUUGAUUGAUAAUCAAGUCACU